AUUGAACGCUGGCGGCAUGCUUUACACAUGCAAGUCGAACGGUAACAGGCCGCAAGGUGCUGACGAGUGGCGAACGGGUGAGUAAUGCAUCGGAACGUGCCCAGUCGUGGGGGAUAACUACUCGAAAGAGUAGCUAAUACCGCAUACGAUCUAUGGAUGAAAGCGGGGGACCGUAAGGCCUCGCGCGAUUGGAGCGGCCGAUGUCAGAUUAGGUAGUUGGUGGGGUAAAGGCUCACCAAGCCAACGAUCUGUAGCUGGUCUGAGAGGACGACCAGCCACACUGGGACUGAGACACGGCCCAGACUCCUACGGGAGGCAGCAGUGGGGAAUUUUGGACAAUGGGCGCAAGCCUGAUCCAGCAAUGCCGCGUGAAGGAAGAAGGCCUUCGGGUUGUAAACUGCUUUUGUACGGAACGAAACGGCUCUGGUUAAUACCCGGGGCUAAUGACGGUACCGGAAGAAUAAGCACCGGCUAACUACGUG
rnacentral:rRNA from 1 species